AUGGAAACUUCUCUGCCAUUUGGAUCGGAGAAUUUAUGGAGGAAAUCGGCUUUUAAAUUUCCAGAAACCACACGAUUAUAUAGCCAAAGGGAAUACGCCGCGCCUAAAAUCAUCCCAAGCGCUGCUAAUGUGGCUACUAAGCUAUUUCUUUGGAAAGCUCCUACUGAGAUGGGAAAUUCCCCGAUAAAGCUGCUAGUACCUGGUGAACUCAUAUUGGCCAAAGUGGAAGAGAAGGAAAUGGUAGAGAGAUUCGGCAUGGUGCUCACUAACCCUCCGUAA